rnacentral:lncRNA from 1 species
UUGUUUGUUUCGGAGAAGCGGCCUGGGCCUCUCGGACGUUCCCGUGUGGCCUUUCGGCACCGGGGACCUUCCGUUGGCCUUUUCGGCGGGCUUUUCCGAUUUGCAUUUGCUUGGGGAAGCGGCCUGGGCCGUGCGGAUUGUCCCGUGUGGUCGUCCGACCUUGAGACUCUUCCGCCGGCCUUUUCGGCGGGCUUCUCCAGCUUUCGUUUACUCGGGGGAGCGACCUGGGCCGUGCGGAUUGUCUCAUGUGGUCGUCCGACCUCAAGACCUCUCCGCCGGCCUUUUCGGCGGGCUACCCCCUUUUCAGUUACAUUUUUAAUGGGUGCACUCCGGGUGCUUUUUAUUGGGCAUCAUGUGCCGUGGUCGGGGAGCGCCCGACGUAAAAUCAGAUACAAUAGGGGAUAAUAUUGUUUCGCGUGCGUCUCACUUCACCGCCUGUACUUUUCUAAAUUGUCGGCAUGCCACGUUCUCUCUAUCUCCUGCCCAUCCUCGUACCCCAGGCGAAAGAUGCCGGGCUGGAUCUCGUCCGUGAUGACGUACGGGCCC